rnacentral:rRNA from 1 species
AUUGAACGCUGGCGGCAGGCCUAACACAUGCAAGUCGAGCGGAUGAAGGGAGCUUGCUCCUGGAUUCAGCGGCGGACGGGUGAGUAAUGCCUAGGAAUCUGCCUGGUAGUGGGGGAUAACGUCCGGAAACGGGCGCUAAUACCGCAUACGUCCUGAGGGAGAAAGUGGGGGAUCUUCGGACCUCACGCUAUCAGAUGAGCCUAGGUCGGAUUAGCUAGUUGGUGGGGUAAAGGCAUACCAAGGCGACGAUCCGUAACUGGUCUGAGAGGAUGAUCAGUCACACUGGAACUGAGACACGGUCCAGACUCCUACGGGAGGCAGCAGUGGGGAAUAUUGGACAAUGGGCGAAAGCCUGAUCCAGCCAUGCCGCGUGUGUGAGGAAGGUCUUCGGAUUGUAAAGCACUUUAAGUUGGGAGGAAGGGCAGUAAGUUAAUACCUUGCUGUUUUGACGUUACCAACAGAAUAAGCACCGGCUAACUUCGUG